GAUCGCGGCGACGUGGGCGGUUCGCCGCCUGCGACGUCGCGAGAAUUCCACUGAACCUUAUCAUUUAGAGGAAGGAGAAGUCGUAACAAGGUUUCCGUAGGUGAACCUGCGGAAGGAUCAUUG
rnacentral:rRNA from 2 species